AAAAAGGAUCAUGUGCCAAGGAGAGUGCCUGGGGAGGCCAAGAAGGUGGAGGUGGAGAUGGUUGGGGGGCAGAGGUGAGGAAGACUGAGAGCUGAAGGAAAGGGGCAGACCAUGCCUGUCUUUCACAUCUAUUCAAUCAGGGCUUCUCAGUCAUUUUAAUGAGAGACUCCUUCCCUGAGUAAAAAUCAGGCAAUAAAGGGAGGAAUGCCUCCCCAUUUAACUUGACCGAGAACUGCAGAAGACGAAAGGAGGGUUGGUUGAAACAAAGUUAGAGCUGGCCUAGUUUGGUUGGCUGCCGUUCCUAUAAAUAUCACCCUCCUGGUCCUGGAAAGGCAUCAGUGACGGCUGUUGGAGCUACUGGGGAACAUCCUUCCUGUUCAGAUGUCCAGGAGUUGGCUGUGUGUGGACAUCCACGUGCAAAGUGCCUGGAAGCAGGGGGUUUAAUCGCUGUCCCAGUGACUUCUGCAUUAAGGAGAAGGCAAGAUAAAGGAUCCCUUACCAGGUGGAGAAAGAGGCUUUCUGAGUAGUGAAAGACUCUGAGAAGCCAGUGGGCCGUGUGGUCUGGGAGCGCUCGGCGCGGGCGGUGGUCGGAGCAGGGGCCACCUUGACGGACGCGGGGACGAUCGCUGUCGCGCAGCUGGCAGGGCCCGGAAACGCAGUGGGGACCAGAAAGCCCUUUCCGAAGACACGGAAGGCGGCGGAGGAGAGGAACGGCAGCGCCCCGGUCCCGGCGCAUUUGAGAAGGAAAAUGCUUGAGGUGCACGUGUGUGAGGUAUAUUUGGACA
rnacentral:lncRNA from 1 species